AACCACCCCUUAAGAUGAGAACUGAGAACUAAUCUUAACCGUAGAUCAAAUUUAUCCAACCGCCGACAAUCUACCCGACCAACCCAAAAGGGUAAUUUGGUGAUUUUGUAGCGCUGACUGACCUCCUCUCUCAACCCAAUUUUCAGAAUUUGUUUCUCUCUCCUCGUUCAAUUUUCUCUCUCCUAUUGGAAAUCAUCUCUCUGCGAUUUUUCACCCUCUUCAAGUGCAACAUUAUUGGCUGAUGUAGGUGUUGCACAGAUUGGUUGAUGUCGCCGGUGGUUGCAGAGCUGCUGUUGCAGGUCAGUCGAGGGUGGUAUGCUGCCAGUGAUUGACUUUUGGGCAGUUGUUCUGCUGUGUUUGGCUGCUCUUUAGCAGUGUUGUGUGUGUGGUGUUGCUGCAAGGGGGUAGUGGUUGUCGUUGCUUGUUGUUUCGGAUUUAGUUUACUAUCGGAGUAACUGCUAGCCAAACUUGAAGAUCGGCUGCACAAUGCAUCAGCUAGAAUUUACAUGUAUAUCUUCAAUGACAGUAAAUACAUGUUUAUAAAGGAUUCAGACUUGCCUGAUAACCCAACUCUGUUCAUUUCCGAGAAAGAGAGUAGCAGGGUAACUUCUGUCCGUGCUGCAAGCAACAACUCCAAUAGACCAAGGACUGAAGGAUACCACAGAGAUAGGGUCAGGCCCUUUGUUCCCUGCUACUUGUACCACAAAACCCCUGCUCUUCUUGCGAGUGUUGUGAAGAUUUCAAAUACAUCAAGGAAUGCUAUUGUGUCUUCUCCUGGUUCAUCUGGUUCUACCGAAAAUUUCAGGAUGUCAACUCCAUCUUUCACUGCCUGAAAUAAUCAAAGUUUGUAAGGCUCAUAGAUUAUACAAUAAGAAUAUAGCACCCAACUACACCCAAGCAGUCAGACCCCAUUCCUGAUCAGAAUCGCACACAACUUGCAAGCACUUGGAAAUAGCUUCACUGAAUGCAGGCCAGAACACUGCAACAACAGUAAACUGUGAGCAUCUUACGGGCUCUAUCAUGGUGGCGGUGAGAACCCGAAUUGAGAAACCAGAAAGCAAAGUCAUGGGAGGGAGAUACCCAAGAUGACAAGAUAUCACCAAUAACGAGAGAGGAUCCCAAGGAUACAUUGUUGUAACUUUCAGGAGAGGUACGAAACACAGUAGAAAACAAAAACAGACAUAAUGAGAUAACGAGGAUGAUAAUGCCAUGGUAAAAGUGUUUUUUUCAGCAUAAGAAAAUAUAGAAAAAAGUGUUUCAGCCCUGCUUGCUUCAAAAUUAGAGUUGAAGCAGCCCUUUGCAGUGCUCCUAUCUGAUUACAACAGGCUUCUAAUGUUAAUAAUAGUCUACAAGUAGAGGAAAAUAUACCUUCUAACCAGGUAAACUGUGAAACUCUGGCUUAAAUCAACUGUCCAUCCUAUUAUCCUAU